rnacentral:rRNA from 1 species
GGCGGGACACGUGGUAUCCUGUCUGAAUAUGGGGGGACCAUCCUCCAAGGCUAAAUACUCCUGACUGACCGAUAGUGAACCAGUACCGUGAGGGAAAGGCGAAAAGAACCCCGGCGAGGGGAGUGAAAAAGAACCUGAAACCGUGUACGUACAAGCAGUGGGAGCCCCACCACUAAGCCAGUGGUGAACUCCACAUACGCAUCCUUUGCUGAGGAUACGGUUAACGGAGCGAAAGCGACGUUCAACCGCAAAAAAAGAAGCAGAGGGGGCUUAGUGGUGGGGUGACUGCGUACCUUUUGUAUAAUGGGUCAGCGACUUAUAUUCUGUAGCAAGGUUAACCGAAUAGGGGAGCCGGAGGGAAACCGAGUCUUAAUUGGGCGUUAAGUUGCAGGGUAUAGACCCGAAACCCGGUGAUCUAGCCAUGGGCAGGUUGAAGGUUGGGUAACACUAACUGGAGGACCGAACCGACUAAUGUUGAAAAAUUAGCGGAUGACCUGUGGCUGGGGGUGAAAGGCCAAUCAAACCGGGAGAUAGCUGGUUCUCCCCGAAAGCUAUUUAGGUAGCGCCUCGUGAAUUCAUCUCCGGGGGUAGAGCACUGUUUCGGCUAGGGGGCCAUCCCGGCUUACCAACCCGAUGCAAACUGCGAAUACCGGAGAAUGUUAUCACGGGAGACACACGGCGGGUGCUAACGUCCGUCGUGAAGAGGGAAACAACCCAGACCGCCAGCUAAGGUCCCAAAGUCAUGGUUAAGUGGGAAACGAUGUGGGAAGGCCCAGACAGCCAGGAUGUUGGCUUAGAAGCAGCCAUCAUUUAAAGAAAGCGUAAUAGCUCACUGGUCGAGUCGGCCUGCGCGGAAGAUGUAACGGGGCUAAACCAUGCACCGAAGCUGCGGCAGCGACGCUGAUGCGUUGUUGGGUAGGGGAGCGUUCUGUAAGCCUGCGAAGGUGUGUCGUGAGGCAUGCUGGAGGUAUCAGAAGUGCGAAUGCUGACAUAAGUAACGAUAAAGCGGGUGAAAAGCCCGCUCGCCGGAAGACCAAGGGUUCCUGUCCAACGUUAAUCGGGGCAGGGUGAGUCGACCCCUAAGGCGAGGCCGAAAGGCGUAGUCGAUGGGAAACGGGUUAAUAUUCCCGUACUUGGUGUUACUGCGAAGGGGGGACGGAGAAGGCUAUGUUGGCCGGGCGACGGUUGUCCCGGUUUAAGCGUGUAGGUGUGUGUUCCAGGUAAAUCCGGUUCACUUUAACACUGAGGCGUGAUGACGAGGCACUACGGUGCUGAAGCAACAAAUGCCCUGCUUCCAGGAAAAGCCUCUAAGCAUCAGGUAACAUCAAAUCGUACCCCAAACCGACACAGGUGGUCAGGUAGAGAAUACCAAGGCGCUUGAGAGAACUCGGGUGAAGGAACUAGGCAAAAUGGUGCCGUAACUUCGGGAGAAGGCACGCUGACACGUAGGUGAAGUGAUUUACUCAUGGAGCUGAAGUCAGUCGAAGAUACCAGCUGGCUGCAACUGUUUAUUAAAAACACAGCACUGUGCAAACACGAAAGUGGACGUAUACGGUGUGACGCCUGCCCGGUGCCGGAAGGUUAAUUGAUGGGGUCAGCGCAAGCGAAGCUCCUGAUCGAAGCCCCGGUAAACGGCGGCCGUAACUAUAACGGUCCUAAGGUAGCGAAAUUCCUUGUCGGGUAAGUUCCGACCUGCACGAAUGGCGUAAUGAUGGCCAGGCUGUCUCCACCCGAGACUCAGUGAAAUUGAACUCGCUGUGAAGAUGCAGUGUACCCGCGGCAAGACGGAAAGACCCCGUGAACCUUUACUAUAGCUUGACACUGAACAUUGAGCCUUGAUGUGUAGGAUAGGUGGGAGGCUUUGAAGUGUGGACGCCAGUCUGCAUGGAGCCGGCCUUGAAAUACCACCCUUUAAUGUUUGAUGUUCUAACGUGGACCCGUGAUCCGGGUUGCGGACAGUGUCUGGUGGGUAGUUUGACUGGGGCGGUCUCCUCCUAAAGAGUAACGGAGGAGCACGAAGGUUGGCUAAUCCUGGUCGGACAUCAGGAGGUUAGUGCAAUGGCAUAAGCCAGCUUGACUGCGAGCGUGACGGCGCGAGCAGGUGCGAAAGCAGGUCAUAGUGAUCCGGUGGUUCUGAAUGGAAGGGCCAUCGCUCAACGGAUAAAAGGUACUCCGGGGAUAACAGGCUGAUACCGCCCAAGAGUUCAUAUCGACGGCGGUGUUUGGCACCUCGAUGUCGGCUCAUCACAUCCUGGGGCUGAAGUAGGUCCCAAGGGUAUGGCUGUUCGCCAUUUAAAGUGGUACGCGAGCUGGGUUUAGAACGUCGUGAGACAGUUCGGUCCCUAUCUGCCGUGGGCGCUGGAGAACUGAGGGGGGCUGCUCCUAGUACGAGAGGACCGGAGUGGACGCAUCACUGGUGUUCGGGUUGUCAUGCCAAUGGCACUGCCCGGUAGCUAAAUGCGGAAGAGAUAAGUGCUGAAAGCAUCUAAGCACGAAACUUGCCCCGAGAUGAGUUCUCCCUGAGACUUAGAGUCUCCUGAAGGAACGUUGAAGACGACGACGUUGAUAGGCCGGGUGUGUAAGCGCAGCGAUGCGUUGAGCUAACCGGUACUAAUGAACCGUGAGGCUUAACCUUACAACGCCGAA